CUUGUAGCUGACUAUUCAGAACUCAGCCAGGCACACCAAGCAGGGAGGAUCAAUCCAUAAGCUCUUCCACAGCUCAGAGAAAGUGGGAAAAUAUGGAAGCGAGGCCCUGGGAAGAGAGGCUGCACAAAAGCAGCUGUGAUCCAGAUAAGGACCAUGGUAAAGAAGAAGCCCUGCAGCCUUGGGAGAGACCUUGGGAGAGAGCCUGCUAGAAGCCCUGCAGCCUUGGGAGAGACCACCGGCUUCCUAGAUAGCCCCCCAGAGUGAGAGACUGGUGUGGGCUGACUGUUGCUGUUGCUGCUGCUGCUGCAUUAUUGAACAUCUGCCUGCAGGAGAGAGAGAAGGCGAGUCCACCUGCCGGUCCCCGACCUGAACUGUGCCCUUUGACAGUGGCUGCUUUGCAGGAUCAGGGCCAGGAGUGAGUCAGCAGUUCCUGCUUGAGAGCUGACCAGAGGGGCUUUCUCUGGCCCUAUAUAGGAACGCUGCCUGUGGUGGCGGGGAUGCCACCAAAGGGGUGACACCAAAGGGGGUCAGCCCCUUGGGGGAGCCACCUCGGGGGACAGCAAGGGCAAGUGACAGGCCUCUUGGCCCAGGUAUUUGUAGGUGGGAGGCAUUUAAUAAAGGGGCUUCUGUUUUAAUUA